rnacentral:rRNA from 2 species
CUGCCUGUAAGACUGGGAUAACUCCGGGAAACCGGGGCUAAUACCGGAUGCUUGUUUGAACCGCAUGGUUCAAAUAUAAAAGGUGGCUUUUAGCUACCACUUACAGAUGGACCCGCGGCGCAUUAGCUAGUUGGUGAGGUAACGGCUCACCAAGGCAACGAUGCGUAGCCGACCUGAGAGGGUGAUCGGCCACACUGGGACUGAGACACGGCCCAGACUCCUACGGGAGGCAGCAGUAGGGAAUCUUCCGCAAUGGACGAAAGUCUGACGGAGCAACGCCGCGUGAGUGAUGAAGGUUUUCGGAUCGUAAAACUCUGUUGUUAGGGAAGAACAAGUACCGUUCGAAUAGGGCGGUACCUUGACGGUACCUGACCAGAAAGCCACGGCUAA